rnacentral:misc_RNA from 2 species
AGCAGCCGCGGUAAUUCCAGCUCCAAUAGCGUAUAUUAAAGUUGUUGCAGUUAAAAAGCUCGUAGUUGAAUUUCGGGGUUAGUAGGUUGGUCAUGCCUCUGGUAUGUACUGGUCUCACUGAUUCCUCCUUCCUGAUGAGCCGUAAUGCCAUUAAUUUGGUGUUGCGGGGAAUUUGGACUGUUACUUUGAAAAAAUUAGAGUGUUUAAAGCAAGCUAACGCUUGAAUACAUUAGCAUGGAAUAAUGAAAUAGGACGUUCGAUCCUAUUUUGUUGGUUUCUAGGAUUGACGUAAUGAUUAAUAGGGAUAGUUGGGGGCAUUAGUAUUCAAUUGUCAGAGGUGAAAUUCUUGGAUUUAUUGAAGACUAACUACUGCGAAAGCAUUUUGCCAAGGAUGUUUUCAUUAAUCAAGAACGAAAGUUAGGGGAUCGAAGACGAUCAGAUACCGUCGUAGUCUUAACCAUAAACUAUGCCGACUAGGGAUCGGAUGAUGUUAAUUUUUUAAUGACUCAUUCGGCGCCUU